GCUCAGAUUGAACGCUGGCGGCAGGCCUAACACAUGCAAGUCGAACGGUAACAGGAAGAAGCUUGCUUCUUUGCUGACGAGUGGCGGACGGGUGAGUAAUGUCUGGGAAACUGCCUGAUGGAGGGGGAUAACUACUGGAAACGGUAGCUAAUACCGCAUAACGUCGCAAGACCAAAGAGGGGGACCUUCGGGCCUCUUGCCAUCGGAUGUGCCCAGAUGGGAUUAGCUAGUAGGUGGGGUAACGGCUCACCUAGGCGACGAUCCCUAGCUGGUUUGAGAGGAUGACCAGCCACACUGGAACUGAGACACGGUCCAGACUCCUACGGGAGGCAGCAGUGGGGAAUAUUGCACAAUGGGCGCAAGCCUGAUGCAGCCAUGCCGCGUGUAUGAAGAAGGCCUUCGGGUUGUAAAGUACUUUCAGCGGGGAGGAAGGGAGUAAAGUUAAUACCUUUGCUCAUGACGUACCCGCA
rnacentral:rRNA from 1 species